AUGUACUCUUUAUAUGUUGUCGGAAAAAAUCGCUGCAGUGUUGCAGUCUCGCCACGAGACGGCGCUGUGGCUCCCUCGAACAGGUCCGCAUGUCGGGCACUUCUGUCAUCCCCCCACGAGGUGGCGCUGUCACCGGGCCGGACAACCGUGAUGGCGGCACGAACUCGACUGCCCCUCGUUCGGCGAGACCGAGUCUGCAUGGCUUUGGAUUCAGCUGACAAUGGAGCUGGAAUACGUGAACGCCUCCCUUGGAGGGAAGCGGCUUGGGCCCCAAGAAGGGCAGGACACACCCUAAUUCCUCCAUCUUGUCCCUUUGAACCCCCCUGUACUGAGAUUCUAAAACCUGUGUUUCACACUAUAAUUAAUCUAUCCCUUCACCAUUUAUCCCCGUGUGAUCCUCCCAUCCUCAUAGAGGUGAUGUUUCCUGUGCAGGGUCAAAGUCCAACCACCAAACACUUCUGGCCACGUUCCAGGACCUCCAAACCCCCCAGGGGUGGUCUCGGUGCCUCUGCACAUCAGGAACGCUGUGCUGAGCUCCCACAGCUCUGGGGGAAUGGCAGCAAUGGCACGGAGCAGCCACGAGUCCUUUGUGCCUCCAGGUCCUUUGUGCCUCCCAAGUCCUUUUUGCUUCAGGUCCUUUUGGCCUCCAGGUCCCUUUUUUGCCUCUCCAGAAUCCUUUUUGCUUUGGGUCCUUUUUGCCUCCAGGUGAUUUUUGCCUCUGGGUCCUUUUAGUCUUCAGGGUCCUUUGUGCCUCCCAAGUCCUUUUUGCUUUGGGCCCUUUUUGCUUUGGGUCCUUUUUGCUUUGGGUCCUUUUUGCUUUGGG
rnacentral:lncRNA from 1 species